UGCCAGACUCCUACGGGAGGCAGCAGUGAGGAAUAUUGGUCAAUGGACGAGAGUCUGAACCAGCCAAGUAGCGUGAAGGAUGACUGCCCUAUGGGUUGUAAACUUCUUUUAUAUGGGAAUAAAACAGGGUAUGCAUACCCUCUUGUAUGUACCAUAUGAAUAAGGAUCGGCUAACUCCGUGCCAGCAGCCGCGGUAAUACGGAGGAUCCGAGCGUUAUCCGGAUUUAUUGGGUUUAAAGGGAGCGUAGAUGGGUUGUUAAGUCAGCUGUGAAAGUUUGCGGCUCAACCGUAAAAUUGCAAUUGAUACUGGCAGCCUUGAGUACAGUUGAGGUAGGCGGAAUUCGUGGUGUAGCGGUGAAAUGCUUAGAUAUCACGAAGAACUCCGAUUGCGAAGGCAGCAUGCCGGCUCCACACUGACGCUGAGGCACGAAAGCGUGAGUAUCGAACAGGAUUAGAUACCCUUGUAG
rnacentral:rRNA from 1 species